ACGAACGCUGGCGGCAUGCCUAACACAUGCGAGUCGAACGAGACCUUCGGGUCUAGUGGCGCACGGGUGCGUAACGCGUGGGAACCUGCCCUUAGGUUCGGAAUAACUCCCCGAAAGGGGUGCUAAUACCGGAUAAUGUCUUCGGACCAAAGAUUUAUCGCCUUUGGAUGGGCCCGCGUUGGAUUAGCUAGUUGGUAGGGUAAAAGCCUACCAAGGCGACGAUCCAUAGCUGGUCUGAGAGGAUGAUCAGCCACACUGGGACUGAGACACGGCCCAGACUCCUACGGGAGGCAGCAGUGGGGAAUAUUGGACAAUGGGCGAAAGCCUGAUCCAGCAAUGCCGCGUGAGUGAUGAAGGCCUUAGGGUUGUAAAGCUCUUUUACCCGGGAUGAUAAUGACAGUACCGGGAGAAUAAGCUCCGGCUAACUCCGUG
rnacentral:rRNA from 1 species